rnacentral:lncRNA from 1 species
CAGAACGGCACCUUAGCUCAAAGCGCCAAAUUCACUGCGGGAGUCGAAAAAUAGUCGUUCCAGCCGGCUUGAGAACGAUAAUGCUACUCACCGUUAUGUACCUUUUUUUGGUUUGUCAACAUCCGCUGUCAUUCCGAUACGGUAUGAGGAGAGUUGGGUAUUGAGUAACCCACGUGCAUAUGCGCGGGAGUCGGUGAAUGCUUUGUGAAACGUGCGGUGCGGGGCUCUAACCUAACUCGUUUAGUAUGAACAAUGCCGUGAACCAUGACUGCCAUACCAUUGUGAAUGACCCUGAAAAAGGCAGUCACGUCAACGUGGGCUACAUGACCUGUCAUCCUUUGUGAAAGGCCUCAGCGGACCUCGAGGUGCCAAGCCUUACGAACAAGGUUGACCCUAGGCAAGCCCCGCUACCAACCACCGCGCCCCGAACGAAGGUUGUCUGCGGCCAAGAAAGGUAUGUGUCGCAGAUAUGGGGAAAGUGCCACAACUCGCCACUGGUAAGUUCAUCGAUGUGUCGCGAGACAGAGGUUGUGGUAGAAAAGGCGCACGCUGCUCAAAUGACACCUCAAGAUCGCGCAUGCGUCAAGCCAGCCGGUGCUCAUGUCGCAGCGGAGACGCGUGCUACUGAAAUGUAAAAAAUGAGGAGGAGUAUACGCCGCAUUAAAAAAAAAAAAAGAGGGGGGGGGGGGGCUUCCUGUACCCUUUGUGAAUCUUCUAAGAUUUGAACCUUUAUGUGUCUUGUCAUACCUUCGCAUAGUGUUGGCUCUGUGAACUGUAAACAGUUGGUGACGCUUGCGUCGAGCAGCGCAAGGCUUGAAACAGCAAAACUGGACGAUUCGAAAGAGCAAUCUGGUUGUUUCUAGGCCUAAGCUAGGUGAUGCUGACUCAGGAGGGAUAUUCGGAGCAUGCCAAUCUUUUAAGAGACUUUUUGACAACAUAGCUAGCUAUGAAAUGCACUAACCUACUGUUGCUGUGCCUAUUGAUAUAGUUGUCAUGAUCAGACUGUUUUCUUUGUGUGUCUAACAGAUACAACACAUUACAAGUUAUCAUAUACAUGGGUUGCAUGUGAUGUCAUUUCCAGCUGGCUAAGUGAGCGAUGUCAGGGGUUGAUGCAUACGAUGACACGACUGAUUGAACGACAAACAACUGGUUUAUUAACGAUUCGAAGAGAUUACAUAACUGAUGCCUUGUGAACCGCUUCGCGCUCGCCCCAAUCGUCCCCCUCAAUCUUGAAGCCAACGUGGUGGUUUUCUCAGUCUGCAGCGGUCAUCAGUAGCUAACGGUGCUUGAGUGGAUUGCGCGGAGUCAUCGUGCAGUGGUGGAGUUGUCUUGUGUUUUCUCAUAAAAGCGCUUUAACUGCGUUGCGCUGGACAUUUUUUUGGAGUAUUUGAUGCUUUCGCACUUUAGGAGGUGGACCGUGCUCAGUUCUGUCACGAAAUUUGACAGAGACGGUUGUGUGUCCGAGUCACUGCUUGUUGAUAUACGCACAUUCUUUUCCAGUUUCUGUAUGAACUCAAUAGUGUGAAUGCCGUGAUCGUAGUGUUCAAUAUAGUCAAACGAAAUGGCCUGUCUCCCGUCAAGGCCUACCAUGACUUUGUAUGGAAGGUUCUUGAUCACUUUAGCUUCUACUGUAGCACAGUUAUCACCAAUGGUGAUCCUCGCUUGAGUCACUCCGGUUGGCUUGCACGAGUUGCCAAAUG